GAUGAACGCUGGCGGCGUGCCUAAUACAUGCAAGUCGAGCGAACGGACGAGGAGCUUGCUGCUCUGAUGUUAGCGGCGGACGGGUGAGUAACACGUGGAUAACCUACCUAUAAGACUGGGAACACUUCGGAAAACCGGCGCUAAUACCGGAUAAGCUUUUGCACCGCAUGGUUCAAAAGUGGAAGACGGUCGUGCGGUAAGUACUAGAUGCAUAUGCGCUGCAUUGGCUAGUUGGUAAGGUAACGGCUUACCACGGCAACGAUGCAUAGCCGACCUGAGAGGGGGGUCGCCCGCCUUGGAGGGGAGACAGCGUCCAGGGGCCUAAGGUAGGCAGCAGUAGGGAAUCUGCCGCAAUGGGCGAAAGCCUGACGGAGCAACGCCGCGUGUGUGAUGAAGGUCUUCGGAUCGUAAAACUCUGUUAUUAGGGAAGAACAUAUUUCGAAGUAACUGUGCACAUCUUGACGGUACCUAAUCAGAAAGCCACGGCUAACUACGUG
rnacentral:rRNA from 1 species